GACAAAGCUAGAACCACUAUGAGAGACUCAUGAAUAAAGUGCCGUCCACGCCUGAAGAGGCAUUUCUGCAGGCUCCAGAUUCAGUGAGGGAGCUGCUUAUUCCAUGAUCCUCAAGGCGGCUUCAUCCAGACACCAGCCAUGGCCCCAGAGGUUCCACCCCGUUUUCACCGAUCCUCUUUAGAUGAUCAGUACCGUUAGUUUCCGGCUUAUUCUUCAUGGAUUUCUUUUUCUCAAAUGUGAAGAUGCAUAAGUAUUUUUUAUAUCCCCUUCUUUCUUUUAUGAACAUACGUAGAAAAAUUUAUUCAUGUUUUUCAUGUAACAGUAUAUCCCAGAAAUCACUCCAUCUUAGUACAUGAUAGCGAUCUUCCUUAUCAUUUUUUACAGUUGCAUAGUAUUCCAUUGUGUGACUGUGCCAUCAUUCAUUUACCUGCUUUCUUAAAUAGAGUCAUUUCCUUUGUUUCCAGCAUCUUGCAAUUA